AUUGAACGCUGGCGGCAGGCCUAACACAUGCAAGUCGAACGGUAACAGGAAACAGCUUGCUGUUUCGCUGACGAGUGGCGGACGGGUGAGUCAUGUCUGGGAAACUGCCUGAUGGAGGGGGAUAACUACUGGAAACGGUAGCUAAUACCGCAUAACGUCGCAAGCCCAAAGAGGGGGACCCUCGGGCCUCUUGCCAUCGGAUGUGCCCAGAUGGGAUUAGCUUGUUGGUGGGGUAACGGCUCACCAAGGCGACGAUCCCUAGCUGGUCUGAGAGGAUGACCAGCCACACUGGAACUGAGACACGGUCCAGACUCCUACGGGAGGCAGCAGUGGGGAAUAUUGCACAAUGGGCGCAAGCCUGAUGCAGCCAUGCCGCGUGUAUGAAGAAGGCCUUCGGGUUGUAAAGUACUUUCAGCGGGGAGGAAGGGAGUAAAGUUAAUACCUUUGCUCAUUGACGUUACCCGCAGAAGAAGCACCGGCUAACUCCGUG
rnacentral:rRNA from 1 species